GAUGAACGCUGGCGGCGUGCCUAAUACAUGCAAGUCGAGCGAACGGACGAGAAGCUUGCUUCUCUGAUGUUAGCGGCGGACGGGUGAGUAACACGUGGAUAACCUACCUAUAAGACUGGGAUAACUUCGGGAAACCGGAGCUAAUACCGGAUAAUAUUUUGAACCGCAUGGUUCAAAAGUAAAAGACGGUCUUGCUGUCACUUAUAGAUGGAUCCGCGCUGCAUUAGCUAGUUGGUAAGGUAACGGCUUACCAAGGCAACGAUGCAUAGCCGACCUGAGAGGGUGAUCGGCCCCACUGGAACUGAGACACGGUCCAGACUCCUACGGGAGGCAGCAGUAGGGAAUCUUCCGCAAUGGGCGAAAGCCUGACGGAGCAACGCCGCGUGAGUGAUGAAGGUCUUCGGAUCGUAAAACUCUGUUAUUAGGGAAGAACAUAUGUGUAAGUAACUGUGCACAUCUUGACGGUACCUAAUCAGAAAGCCACGGCUAACUACGUG
rnacentral:rRNA from 1 species